UACGAAGGGGGCUAGCGUUGUUCGGAAUUACUGGGCGUAAAGCGCACGUAGGCGGAUAUUUAAGUCAGGGGUGAAAUCCCAGAGCUCAACUCUGGAACUGCCUUUUGAUACUGGGUAUCUAGAGUAUGGAAGAGGUGAGUGGAAUUCCGAGUGUAGAGGUGAAAAUUCGUAGAUAUUCGGAGGAACACCAGUGGCGAAGGCGGCUCACUGGUCCAUUACUGACGCUGAGGUGCGAAAGCGUGGGGAGCAAACAGG
rnacentral:rRNA from 1 species